rnacentral:rRNA from 2 species
CGCGACCCCAGUCAGG